rnacentral:misc_RNA from 1 species
UGAAAUCGUUAUAAUCCACAACUUCAUACGUGACAAGUAUCGAUUGAAAUUUCCUGAGUUAGAGUCACUUGUUCAUCACCCGAUUGAUUAUGCCCGUGUUGUUAAAAAAAUUGGAAAUGAAAUAGAUCUGACUCUUGUUGACUUGGAAGGACUCCUACCCUCAGCUAUUAUCAUGGUUGUGUCUGUUACGGCAUCAACUACGAGUGGCAAGCCAUUGCCAGAAGAUGUUUUACAGAAGACAGUGGAAGCAUGUGAUAGAGCCCUUGCUCUUGAUUCAGCAAAGAAAAAGGUUCUCGAUUUUGUUGAGAGUCGAAUGGGGUAUAUUGCUCCUAAUCUUUCUGCUGUAGUUGGGAGUGCAGUUGCUGCAAAACUUAUGGGUACUGCUGGUGGUCUCUCAUCGUUGGCGAAAAUGCCUGCUUGUAAUGUCCAGCUUCUUGGUGCCAAAAGGAAGAAUUUAGCAGGGUUCUCCACAGCAACAUCCCAAUUUCAUGUGGGUUAUAUUGAGCAAACAGAAUUAUUUCAGAGUACACCUCCUUCCUUAAGGAUGCGAGCCUGUAGACUGCUGGCAGCAAAAUCUACUUUAGCUGCACGUGUUGACUCGAUCAAUGGAGACCCGGUUGGAAAAACUGGAAGAUCUCUUAGGGAAGAGAUACGUAAAAAGAUAGAGAAGUGGCAAGAGCCACCUCCUGCAAAGCAGCCAAAGCCUCUUCCAGUUCCUGAUUCCGAGCCUAAGAAAAAGAGAGGUGGCCGUCGUCUGAGAAAGAUGAAAGAAAGAUACGCUAUCACGGACAUGCGGAAACUAGCAAAUAGGAUGCAGUUUGGAAUACCUGAAGAAAGCUCCUUAGGUGAUGGACUAGGAGAGGGCUAUGGCAUGCUUGGUCAAGCUGGAAGUGGUAAACUGCGUGUGUCAGUUGGUCAGAGCAAGCUUGCUGCCAAAGUAGCUAAGAAAUUCAAGGAGAAGAGUUAUGGAAGCAGUGGUGCUACAUCAGGCUUGACUUCAAGUUUGGCCUUUACUCCUGUGCAAGGUAUCGAGCUAUCAAAUCCUCAGGCACUUGCAAAUCAGCUUGGCAGUGGAACUCAGAGCACCUAUUUCUCGGAUACUGGAACGUUUUCCAAGAUUAAGAGAACAUGAACAAGACCUAGUGGGCAUCAAUGUCCGGGUUCUUCCCGAUGCACUGCAGUAAGACUCUCUACUAAAAUGCAAGCGUUUGUUUUUCUUGAUCAUGUUUUUGAUAGAAGAAAACACUAUGCAAAUCGUUUGAUACAUUAGACAUAGCUAUAUGUACAUCAGAGUUAACUAGACGUGCGAUCUAAUACUCUACUGUAUUGUCGCCUGUCCAAAAUGAAUGUAAUGUUUGGUUAGUAAUUGAAAAAAUUGCACCUCUUUGCUCCUCGUCCUAGCAGUUGGAUUUGGUACCGUAAUUAUAUAG